rnacentral:rRNA from 1 species
CGGCGAACGGGUGAGUAACGCGUGGAUUAUCUGCCCUGAGGUGGGGGAUAACCCGGGGAGACUCGGGCUAAUACCGCAUAUGGCCGUGAGGUCAAAGGGGGGUCGCAAGAUCUCUCGCCAUAGGAGGAGUCCGCGUCCGAUUAGCUAGUUGGUAGGGUAAUGGCCUACCAAGGCGACGAUCGGUAGCCGGCCUGAGAGGGUGAUCGGCCACACUGGAACUGAGACACGGUCCAG